rnacentral:rRNA from 1 species
UACAGAGGGUGCGAGCGUUAAUCGGAAUUACUGGGCGUAAAGCGCGCGUAGGCGGCUUUGCAAGUCGGGUGUGAAAUCCCCAGGCUUAACCUGGGAACUGCAUUCGAGACUGCAUUGCUAGAGUAUGGGAGAGGGAAGUGGAAUUUCCGGUGUAGCGGUGAAAUGCGUAGAUAUCGGAAGGAACAUCAGUGGCGAAGGCAGCUCGCUGGGACGGUACUGACGCUGAGGCGCGAAAGCGUGGGGAGCAAACAGG